rnacentral:rRNA from 1 species
AUUGAACGCUGGCGGCAGGCUUAACACAUGCAAGUCGAGCGGGGUGAUGGUGCUUGCACUAUCACUUAGCGGCGGACGGGUGAGUAAUGCUUAGGAAUCUGCCUAUUAGUGGGGGACAACAUUUCGAAAGGAAUGCUAAUACCGCAUACGUCCUACGGGAGAAAGCAGGGGAUCUUCGGACCUUGCGCUAAUAGAUGAGCCUAAGUCGGAUUAGCUAGUUGGUGGGGUAAAGGCCUACCAAGGCGACGAUCUGUAGCGGGUCUGAGAGGAUGAUCCGCCACACUGGGACUGAGACACGGCCCAGACUCCUACGGGAGGCAGCAGUGGGGAAUAUUGGACAAUGGGCGCAAGCCUGAUCCAGCCAUGCCGCGUGUGUGAAGAAGGCCUUAUGGUUGUAAAGCACUUUAAGCGAGGAGGAGGCUACUUUAGUUAAUACCUAGAGAUAGUGGACGUUACUCGCAGAAUAAGCACCGGCUAACUCUGUGCCAGCAGCCGCGGUAAUACAGAGGGUGCAAGCGUUAAUCGGAUUUACUGGGCGUAAAGCGCGCGUAGGCGGCUAAUUAAGUCAAAUGUGAAAUCCCCGAGCUUAACUUGGGAAUUGCAUUCGAUACUGGUUAGCUAGAGUGUGGGAGAGGAUGGUAGAAUUCCAGGUGUAGCGGUGAAAUGCGUAGAGAUCUGGAGGAAUACCGAUGGCGAAGGCAGCCAUCUGGCCUAACACUGACGCUGAGGUGCGAAAGCAUGGGGAGCAAACAGGAUUAGAUACCCUGGUAGUCCCUGCCGUAAACGAUGUCUACUAGCCGUUGGGGCCUUUGAGGCUUUAGUGGCGCAGCUAACGCGAUAAGUAGACCGCCUGGGGAGUACGGUCGCAAGACUAAAACUCAAAUGAAUUGACGGGGGCCCGCACAAGCGGUGGAGCAUGUGGUUUAAUUCGAUGCAACGCGAAGAACCUUACCUGGCCUUGACAUAGUAAGAACUUUCCAGAGAUGGACUGGUGCCUUCGGGAACUUACAUACAGGUGCUGCAUGGCUGUCGUCAGCUCGUGUCGUGAGACGUUGGGUUAAGUCCCGCAACGAGCGCAACCCUUUUCCUUAUUUGCCAGCGAGUAAUGUCGGGAACUUUAAGGAUACUGCCAGUGACAAACUGGAGGAAGGCGGGGACGACGUCAAGUCAUCAUGGCCCUUACGGCCAGGGCUACACACGUGCUACAAUGGUCGGUACAAAGGGUUGCUACCUAGCGAUAGGAUGCUAAUCUCAAAAAGCCGAUCGUAGUCCGGAUUGGAGUCUGCAACUCGACUCCAUGAAGUCGGAAUCGCUAGUAAUCGCGGAUCAGAAUGCCGCGGUGAAUACGUUCCCGGGCCU